rnacentral:rRNA from 1 species
AGCAGCCGCGGUAAUUCCAGCUCCAAUAGCGUAUAUUAAAGUUGUUGCAGUUAAAAAGCUCGUAGUUGAAUUUCGGGAUCAAUCUAUCGGUCGUGCAAUAGUACGUACUGAUUUUAUUGAUUCCUCCCUUCUGAUGAACUAUGAUGUCAUUAAUUUGGUGUCAUAGGGAAUCAGGACUGUUACUUUGAAAAAAUUAGAGUGUUUAAAGCAGGCUCACGCUUGAAUACAUUAGCAUGGAAUAACGAAAUAGGACGUUUGAUUCUAUUUUGUUGGUUUCUAGGAUCGACGUAAUGAUUAAUAGGGAUAGUUGGGGGCAUUAGUAUUCAAUUGUCAGAGGUGAAAUUCUUGGAUUUAUUGAAGACUAACUACUGCGAAAGCAUUUGCCAAGGAUGUUUUCAUUAAUCAAGAACGAAAGUUAGGGGAUCGAAGACGAUCAGAUACCGUCGUAGUCUUAACCAUAAACUAUGCCGACUAGGGAUCGGAUGAUGUUAAUUUUUUAAUGACUCUA